rnacentral:rRNA from 1 species
ACGAACCGUGCGAACGUUGUUCGGAAUCACUGGGCUUAAAGGGCGCGUAGGCGGGCCACCAAGUCCGCGGUGAAAUCCUCCGGCUUAACCGGAGAAGUGCCGCGGAUACUGGGGGCCUCGAGGCGGGUAGGGGCGUGCGGAACUCUGAGUGGAGCGGUGAAAUGCGUUGAUAUUCAGAGGAACUCCGGUGGCGAAGGCGGCACGCUGGACCCGAUCUGACGCUGAGGCGCGAAAGCCAGGGGAGCGAACGG